AAAUUUAUAUAGGGUAAAUACUCAUCUAAUUACAACAAAUUCACACUUGACUGUUUAUAAUCACAUACGAAAACUAAUAUGUAAACAAUAAUUUUUUUAAGA
rfam:Populus trichocarpa scaffold_14_contig_134, whole genome shotgun sequence.